CACGCUUCACCCAAACAACACACUAAAUAUCUCUCUCUCUAGAAUUCUCUAUGAACCUCUCUCAACUCUCUUUCUAAACACCCACGUACAGCAGCAACCCAGAAACAUGGGCUCCCCUCCAGACCACCACCAUCUUCUGUUCCUCCGGCGGCGCCAUGGCUGUCGGCAAUCGGCCCUCCCCUCCUUGCUCGCAGCUUCUCCCUCUCCAUCUUCUCCAACCUCCAUUUAUAGAUUUUAAGGAUGAAUCUUUGCUUCCCCAAAACUCUUUCCUUGCAAUUUAAGUGCUAGGGGUGGCGCAUCCAAGGCUCGAGGAUGGACAACCUAAACCAAGCUUGAGGAGGUUAUUUUGAAUUUCAGCUUUCGAGGUUAAGGAGUCGGUAACGGGGCAGCAGUCAACGUGGUCCGCUAUGUUUGACUAGUAGACCCUUUGGUAUUUGGGUAAAAGUGAAUUGUUUUGAGAGUAAACUUGAUAACUUUUAUGCUAUUAUAUUUUGAAUGAUGUAGGUUUCAAUCCGAUUAAGCAGGAUAUUUUAUUUUGGUUGGAUUA